GGGUGGGGUUACAAAUGUCCGUACUCAAUGACUGGUCUCAUGCAAUAAUGUAACAGUGUUGUGUAUGUUGUUAAUUGGUACGGUACAAAAACGGUACAGCCAUAGAUAGAACUUGGUACAGCUACACGAACGAAUAACUCUACAUCUAAAACUGAAUAAUGGAAGCAGCGAAUUGGUCAGUUGUAGAUGUCCACAUGCUUUUGAUCACCUGGGCAGACUCCAGCAUCCAGAGGCAACUGGAUUCUUCCAGCAGGAAUGAAAAGGUCUUCAAAAAACUCAAACAAGAAUAUAAAAAGAUAAAAGACUGCACAACAGCAAAGGUUGUAUCAGAAAGCGAUAUUUGAAGACACGAUGACGGCGAGCAGCAAUGAUCAGCACGGAAUAGAAAACACACUGCAAGAACAACCAGCAAAUACCUGAAUUUCAUGAGGGAGGCCUCACACCUGGAGACACUUGAGGCCCAGCAUCAGCAGCAGGAUCUGCACUUCAAUCAGCUGUGUGAAGAUGAGGCAGCAGCCAGCGCAGCAGACAGGACAGCCAGAGUGGCUGCGAUGGCACAGACAGCAUCGUUUAACAACAGCUUCAUAGCUGUAUUUGGAAAGUUUGUCCAAGCCAUAAAAGGACAUCAGACAACAGCAGCAGACAUGACACUAGACUAAACUGGCUGAAGUUCAUAUUUAAAAAAACACAUUUUUUAUUCACUUAAAUUUGCACUACACCAAAAGCAUUUUGAAUGUGGCUUUCAAUUAUUGUUAAUUGAAUUUAACCUACUGUUAAAACCUCUUACAUCUAGACGUUCCGCUAGCGGAACACCUGCUCCAAUAUCCAAUGAUAGGCGUGGCGCGAAUUACAAAUUUCUCAAAAAUACAAAAACUUCAAUUUUUCAAACAUAUGACUAUUUCACAGCAUUUUAAAGACAAGACUCUCCUUUAUCUAACCACACUGUCCGAUUUCAAAAAGGCUUUACAGCGAAAGCAAAACAUUAGAUUAUGUCAGCAGAGUACCAAGCCAGAAAUAAUCAGACACCCAUUUUUCAAGCUAGCAUAUAAUGUCACAAAAAAUAAAACCACAGCUAAAUGCAGCACUAACCUUUGAUGAUCUUCAUCAGAUGACAACCCUAGGACAUUAUGUUAUACAAUGCAUGCAUGUUUUGUUCAAUCAAGUUCAUAUUUAUAUCAAAAACCAGCUUUUUACAUUAGCAUGUGACGUUCAGAACUAGCAUACCCCCCGCAAACAUCCGGUGAAUUUACUAAAUUACUCACGAUAAACGUUCACAAAAAACAUAACAAUUAUUUUAAGAAUUAUAGAUACAGAACUCCUCUAUGCACUCGAUAUGUCCGAUUUUAAAAUAGCUUUUCGGUGAAAGCACAUUUUGCAAUAUUCUCAGUAGAUAGCCCAGCCAUCACGGCUAGCCAUUUAGACACCGACCAAGUUUAGCCCUGAUCAAACUCCGAUUUACUAUUACAAAAGUUUCAUUACCUUUGUUGUCUUCGUCAGAAUGCACUCCCAGGACUGCUACUUCAAUAACAAAUGUUGGUUUGGUCCAAAAUAAUCCUUCGUUAUAUCCGAAUAGCGGCGUUUUGUUCGUGCGUUCCAGACACUAUCCGAAAUGGUAAAGAAGGGUCGCACGCAUGGCGCAAUUCGUGACAAAAAAAUUCUAAAUAUUCCAUUACCGUACUUCGAAGCAUGUCAACCGCUGUUUAAAAUCAAUUUUUAUGCCAUUUUUCUCGUAGAAAAGCGAUAAUAUUCUGACCGGGAAUCUCCUUUUCGGCAAACAGAGGAAAAAAUCACAAAGACGGGGGCGGUCAGGUCACGCGCCUAAGCCCAGAGUACCUUGAUCGGCCACUUGAGAAAGGCGAUAAUGUGUUUCAGCCUGGGGCUGGGAUGACGACAUUCAGGUUUUUCCCGGGCUCUGAGCGCCUAUGGACGACGUAGGAAGUGUCACGUUAGAGCAGAGAUCCUUAGUAAAAGAUAGAGAUGGCAAAGAAGUUCCAGAAAUGGUCAGACAGGCCACUUCCUGUAAAGGAAUCUCUCAGGUUUUGACCUGCCAUUUGAGUUCUGUUAUACUCACAGACACCAUUCAAACAGUUUUAAAAACUUUAGGGUGUUUUCUAUCCAUAUAUAAUAAGUAUAUGCAUAUUCUAGUUACUGGGUAGGAUUAGUAACCAGAUUAAAUCGGGUACGUUUUUUAUCCAACCGUGAAAAUACUGCCCCCUUAAGAGGUUAAACAAUGAAAAUAAUGUACAUUUUGC
rnacentral:lncRNA from 1 species